UAAAAUAUUGGAGAUACCAGAAAAUGCAGAUAUUAAACUUGUACAAAUAACAUAUUUUAAUUUUACCACAUUUGUAUAAAUAAAAUAUACAUCAUGAGAUUAAAUUAAAUUGUUUCGUUGAAUUUUUAUAAAAUAAUACAAAUUAAGACAAAAACAGAAAUUUUCUAUAUAUCUUUUCAACGAAUUCAAGUUUUCUCGUCUCGAACGAUAACAGAAAUAAAUAUUACUCAUUGCUCUGAAUGGUUGACAUUUAGCGCCAUCUACUUGAAGUUAUUUUUUUAGCAUUUUUUUUAAUUUUAAAUAGAAGGAGCAAUUUAGAUUUCUAAUGGACAGUUAGCGCCCUCUACUAGCAAAAAUAGUAGCUAUUAUCUAAUAAAUGUGAUUGCCAAAUCGCAAUGGCAAAUUUUGCGUUUUGAGUUCCGAGCCGAGAGACAAAUAAUCUUAACAAUAUUUUCUUUUUAAUUUAAAUGCAAGUAGACACAAAAACAAUCAAACAGAAUCGAGCAUAGUAAAUAGAAAAUGGAUUAUAAUUCAAAUUAAGUAAUAUUCGCGCAGCUUUUAUUAACGUAGGAAAACUUAUGAUUUAUUAAAUUUAUUUAUGUCUUUAGAAAUUCAAGCUUGGAGUGUUACUGAAUAUUCAAAUCUUGCUCUAGUUCAAGAAGUUAAAAAACAUGCCUUUAUAAUAUUCUUCCAGAAUAUUCAAGGAAAGAUAUGACAGGCGGAAUUUUGCAGGAUAUCGCCUAUAAUUUUGGUUGCACUGCAUCACUUAGAAACAGUCAUCUCACAAAAGAGUAUUACAAUGGAUAUUUGAUGAUCAGCCAUGUCAAACUGAUCAUGGAGUUAUAACACAUGCCAGAAGUAAUAGUUUUAGCCAAAGAAAUAUGUUACCAUAUGUGAUUCUUGGUCUAAUAAAUUCAAUUUAAUAGA